UACGGAGGGUGCAAGCGUUGCUCGGAAUUACUGGGCGUAAAGGGCGUGUAGGCGGUUUCGUAUGUCUGGCGUGAAAGCCCCGGGCUCACCUCGGGAAGUGCGUCGGAAACUGCGAGACUAGAGUCCCGGAGAGGGAGGUGGAAUUCCAGGUGUAGCGGUGAAAUGCGUAGAUAUCAGGAGGAACACCGGUGGUGUAGACGGCUCUCUGGACCGUAACUGACGCUGAGACACGAAAGCGUGGGUAGCAAACAGG
rnacentral:rRNA from 1 species